rnacentral:rRNA from 1 species
GCUGGCGGCAGGCCUAACACAUGCAAGUCGAGCGGUAACAUUUCUAGCUUGCUAGAAGAUGACGAGCGGCGGACGGGUGAGUAACGCGUAGAAAUCUACCUAGUAGUGGGGGAUAGCCCAGAGAAAUUUGGAUUAAUACCGCAUACGCCCUACGGGGGAAAGCGGGGGAUCUUCGGACCUCGUGCUAUUAGAUGAGUCUGCGUCGGAUUAGCUUGUUGGUGAGGUAAUGGCUCACCAAGGCGACGAUCCGUAGCUGGUCUGAGAGGAUGACCAGCCACACUGGAACCGAGACACGGUCCAGACUCCUACGGGAGGCAGCAGUGGGGAAUAUUGCACAAUGGGCGCAAGCCUGAUGCAGCCAUGCCGCGUGUGUGAAGAAGGCCUUAGGGUUGUAAAGCACUUUCAGCAGUGAGGAAAGGGGUGUCGUUAAUAGCGCCAUCCUGUGACGUUAACUGCAGAAGAAGGACCGGCUAACUCCGUG